rnacentral:rRNA from 1 species
UACGUAGGGCGCGAGCGUUGUCCGGAAUUACUGGGCGUAAAGCGCACGCAGGUGGCUGAGUCAGUCGAUUGUGAAAGCCCUGGGCUUAACCUGGGAAUUGCAGUCGAUACUACUCAGCUAGAGUAUGGGAGAGGGUAGUGGAAUUCCCGGUGUAGCGGUGAAAUGCGUAGAUAUCGGGAGGAACAUCAGUGGCGAAGGCGGCUACCUGGCCCAAUACUGACACUCAGGUGCGACAGCGUGGGGAGCAAACAGG